CUGGAGGUAAACUAUACUUUUGCUCAGGCCUACUCAGACAUGACAUUGCAGCAUAGCAGUUAUAUCUUCUCAUCUAACUCCAGGUGGCAGUGUUAAACAACCAUGACAGGCUGCUCCAGCAGAGUUGAGACAGCAGAGCAGACCCACAUGUCAAGAGUGAGGUCACAGAUUGAUGGGACCCUUUCAUAAAGUGAAUCACUGGGAAAAUUACACAUACCUUACAUGUUUUUCUGACACACUUAUAUUUGUGUAAUCACUGCUUAUUGGUUGCUGUUAAUUAGAGAAAAGGAUGAGCAAAAUGUUGUGUAUUCAUCACAUUUUUAAGUUAUCAUAUGUUGCUAGUUGUUCUUACACUGAAGGAUUAUGAUACAAGUCGUUUACAAAUAAAAAUAUUCCGAAUGAUCAAA